UAAUUAUCCAAAAUUUUCCCUCUUUUUUUAAUUCACAGCUUUUAUUUCCCCCAAAUUUCCCUCUCUUUUCCCCCAAAUCAGCCCCUCUCUCAUUCCCCCAAAUUGACUCCAUUUCCCCCAAAUUGACUCCGUCGGCCGGCCAUUGCAAUUGAGCUGGACUCCGAGGUUGGUGCAAAGUAGUAGUUGUCCAACAUACUGAUGACAAAGUUAAAGAUUUGCUGUUGCGAAUACAAAAUAAUGAGCAUGACUGUUAUCCACUUGCGGUCAAGGCGGAGGCAACAUUAGAUAGCCAAAGUGGAGCAGAGGAUGGAAGUGCAGCAUUGGGAUCCACUAAUUCAAAUAUUACUCAGGCAGUUUUCGAAAAGGACAAAGGUAGUACCAUGUUAGGGUAGCGAAGUAGAUCCUCUGGGUUAUUGGCAUGAGGUAUGAGUUGCAAGAGAUUUUCCGGAUUGGUAAUUCAGUUGAAAGUGACUUUGAUGGAAAUGAUCUUGGGAAAGAAUGUGUGAUAUGCCUCUCUGAACCUCGCAAUACUACUGUACUUCCAUGUCGGCACAUGUUUGUUACAGGAAAGGAUAGAAGAAAUAACACAAGUAGAGUAACUAAAAUUUUCCAACAUGCCAUUUCAGUUGAUCUUAUACUAAUAGAGAUGGUGAUGCAGCUAGUGGACCCAUUUUGCCCAUGGAUGUCAAGAGAUCACGUGAUGAUAAUGAUCCUAAUGACAUUCUUUGAUUUCGUUGCAUUUUGUCUUGGAUAUUUAAUUAUGAUGAUGUAAUUGUGUGGUUGGAGUGAAUCAUAGAAUAUUGAAGGUUUUGUGUUUAAAUUUGAUUUUGUAGUUUGAAGAUACUAGUUAAUGUUGAAAAUUUGGAGUUUGAAAAUGUUAAUGUUGAAAAUUUAAUUUUGAAGUUUAA